UCCCUGGUGGUCCAGUGGUUAGGACUUUGUGCUUUCAACACCGAGGCCCUGGGUUCAAUUCCUAGUCCGGGAA
rfam:TPA: Bos taurus chromosome 22, whole genome shotgun sequence.